CGUUUUUUUUUUUUUUUUUUUUUUUUCAAUGCACCUUCUCAGUCGUAUUUAAAAAGAAGUUCGCUCGGAAUGCAAUUUGUGUGGAAUGGGGAGUUGGCAGAGGGAAGAUGGCAAUGUGUUUGUGUGAGGUUUUUGAAGUGCACUUGUCGGAGGGAGAAAAAAAAAAAAAAGAG
rnacentral:ribozyme from 1 species